CUCAUCCAUCCAUCUCAUUGAUCAUAUGGUCCAUAUUUUUUUGUUUACAUUUUUAAGUUGAUUAGAUUGUAGCAAGGGUAUAGUCAUAAUUCAGUUUGUUACGUGAUACAAAAAAUCAUGCAUAUUUUCAAGGGUUAAUAGCCGAAAAAUACACGAACUUUCACGAAAUUUGCAAAUUGCACAUGACCUUCAAAAAUAGCCCCAGAAUACACCACCUUAAUUUAAUUGCAAAUUGCACCCGCGUUGACUACCACCUUAAUCGGUGGUGACGUGGCUGUCAAAUUUUGUUGACGUGGAAGAUUUUCCGAUGUAGAAUACGACAUCGUUUUGUUGUUACAUUACAACACCUAAAACGACGUAAUUUUAUCAAGUUAUUUUAAAUAAAAUAAAUAAAUAAAUAAAAGAAAAAAGUUGCUGCUUCACGUCGUUUUGCCAGGUCUCCUCCGCCGCUCACCUACUGUUUCACCCUCGCCGCCGCCGCUGGCUGCAGGUGUGCCGGGUGGUCACGAAUCUCCGGCCACCACAACAUCACCGCCACAACACCACCACAAAUCUGCAAACCAAAUUAGGGCCGGCGCUGCAACACCUCUGAGUAGACGUCCCCUCUGCCUCACCAUUCAACCCAGCUCCUCCCGAAAUUACGUUCUCUACUUUUAUAGAGAGAAAGUGAGCGAGAGAGAGACAACAAUUCAAUUCAAUUCUAUUCCAUCCAUUCCCUCACAAAUCUCUCUCUUCGCUCUCGCCGCCGUUGCCAGCCACCAAUCACCAAACUCUGCCUCAUGAGUCAACACAGCUCCUCCCACCUUCUUUGACUCGGUCAAUCCCCCAACUCCAACCACUCGAAUUUUCAAGGUAUUGGUUCCACAAAUUUGGGCAAAUUUCAAGGUAUUGGUACUUCGCUUUUAUAUUUUCUAUUCAUGAUGCUAUUGGUUCUCUGAGGUGCUGUAGGUAAAGUUUGUCGUUUAGAUGCUUAUUAGCUUUUUGACCUCGCUAAUGAAUUUUCACCACCAGCUCAAAAAGGGGAGAAAACCACAGCUGCAGGGUUAGGGAGUUGGAAGAGGGCGGUGGGGCGGCGGCGACGGUGACGGCGAUCCGCCCGUUGGGUGCGGGGGAAGGCUGGGAUUGGAUUUCGUCGUCGUCUUCCAUAGAUGGGCGAGAUCUGGGUGAUUGAAUCGG